rnacentral:rRNA from 1 species
CAGAGGUCUCAAGCGUUGUUCGGAUUCAUUGGGCGUAAAGGGUGUGUAGGUGGCGCCGUAAGUCGGGUGUGAAAUUUCGGAGCUUAACUCCGAAACUGCAUUCGAUACUGCGGUGCUUGAGGACUGGAGAGGAGACUGGAAUUCAUGGUGUAGCAGUGAAAUGCGUAGAGAUCAUGAGGAAGACCAGUGGCGAAGGCGGGUCUCUGGACAGUUCCUGACGCUGAGGCACGAAGGUCAGGGGAGCAAACGGG